UUGGGGUGGCAACUAAAGAGCAAUGAGUCUUGAUUUUAAGCAAUAUAAGGACUAAACCCCAUAAAUAAGGUUUUGCUUGGAAGCUUGGUGAGAAGGUGAAUUGGUUAGAGGUGAGCAGAGCAGAUGGGAGGCGACAAGGAUAAAGAUGUGAACUUUCAUUGGCCAGCAGACAUGGAGACCAAGGAGGAAGCUCUGUAUCUACCUAUCCGUCCAUCAACCCAUUCAUCAUCCAUCUCUCCAUCCAUCAAUUCAACAAUUAUUUUCCGAGCACAUGUGUUAUACGAGAGUGAACAGAGAGAGUCCUCCUCAAGGGGUCACAGUGUCUGCCCCUCGGAGGACUGGAGGAACAGACGCCUUCAAGAGAGCCUGUCGUGGGGAGCAGGGGUGACUGAGAGGCCUUGCUGUGUACCUCUGGACCCACAAUAGCAUUUUGCUGAGGCCACAUUUCCCCCAGACAGUUUCCAGGCAGUAACUGAGCAGGUGUCAGACCUGCAUUGCAAUCCAGGCUCUCCCUCUCCUACUCCUGCUUGCUCCCCU